rnacentral:rRNA from 1 species
AGAUUGAACGCUGGCGGCAGGCCUAACACAUGCAAGUCGAGCGGUAGAGAGGUGCUUGCAUCUCUUGAGAGCGGCGGACGGGUGAGUAAUGCCUAGGAAUCUGCCUAGUGGUGGGGGAUAACGUUCGGAAACGGACGCUAAUACCGCAUACGUCCUACGGGAGAAAGGCGGGGGACCUUCGGGCCUCGCGCCAGUUAGAUGAGCCUAGGUCGGAUUAGCUA